AUGAGUUCCAGUGCUUUAACAAUAAAAAUUCUGUUUGGUGCUCUAAAAAUUCUAUUUGUUAGGUUUGGUAGGCAUAAGAUCUAUCUAAGAUCUAGGGCAAUGAGUCCCCAUCUUACUGGAACUUACUGGAUAUGUUUGUCUUGGUGAUAGUCCUUGAGAGGAAGAAUGGGCAUAAACUUCUCAAACUGAGUGCAUCAAAAUCACCUGGAGAGCCUGUGAAACGCAGGUUUCAGGGCUUCAUCCCCAGAGUUCCGAUUCAGUGGGCCUGACGAUUUGCGUUUCUAGGAAGUUCCAGGUGAUGCUGAUGCAAUUGGUUCCAGCACCACCCUUUAAGAAUCAGUGCUUUAAAGCAUGGAUGUGGACUUGGACCCUGAAGGCUGAAGGGAUGUCUGGACUCAAUAGCUUCUUGACGUCCCGGUCCUGUGAUGGCUGUUCUCUACCAGCGCUCUGGCCUGACGUUCAGGGCCCUUCGUUCUCUGACUCCACUGUAUCAUCCACUGCCACCUUCUCCUGUGACGCGAGUGAACACUGGAGCUUCGACUAGUCCUCAUUUUCCCAAAGAGAAGAAAAGCAACUCAGCGAUAAGGAAGCCCGCACCCUUUUGAGGAGAGAACUUGCCAUCCGAUCUUUCACCUUCAAGUCUUUGAGUCAAUACCAUAAAAGUAUAAAGGAGCCGGGAGUAUCAGCCUUAAGAAGGGAGUGCUGGAAAGAAAGUAACAGGAGUCACCUGUCUGAGGGGAGAGAUUUACUCCAUUGGUUCCAAGGAAAUCGUGUCAUCCAGAGGAAGCUGCAAAAGGUGGAUUCACACCGGCGUGACUCAGUCCCCAAAGCGAUGUGCUCAAAAUAGCACUGGGUGAGGAAACCCUUGUUGGCCAGGGACGGAACCCCAGCACAAAGGAGCUCAUCAGGACGAGAAAGGGGGGAACGUAACAAUGCCUGAAGAAGCCAGGGGUAGAGUGACUUCAGUCACCGCUGGAUUACCCUGCCCCCCCCCCCCCACCUGCUCUUGCGGUGGAGAAGUGAGCCGCUGGUGUCCCAGUUAUAGCCAUAGCUCAGCAUUAGCCACCCCUUGGAUGAGAGCAGUGUCAUUCACAGUGGCUGUAGCACACCCCAGGGAUUGACUUUCACGGACCCCAACUCUGUGACCUGGGAGAAUGGCGCUGAUUCCUGAGAAGGAGUCACAGGCUGCCCCUAAAAUGGGGGUUGGGGAGUACAAGGCAGGAGCUCUGGGCCCAAACCUCGUAGCCUGAGAGUGAGGCGCCCUCCCCUCCAGAGACAAUCAGCCUGCCUAACUGAAGGGGGAACGGGUGACAGGUUACAAGAGCAGACGCUCUCUGUGUCUCCAAGCCAGGUCAGAAUAAAUGGCGCCCUUCACUUGUUUUCCCUGUCCCACACGGGGGCCAUGCAGAAGGCUUCACCAACGCUUCUUGAAGUUCCCUCUUAUCCUACCCACUUCCACCCUCUCACAUACCACAGCCUCCCUCAACACCGGGCUCCCCAUGUAAAGACUCCCCCUCCUCCUCUCCUGCCUUUCCACCUGAUUCUCUUACACAAAACCCGGAGAACCAGUCUGAUGGGUAGGACUGUGGAGGGCACAGGGCAAGUCUGUGUGUGUGAGGUGGGGGUGGGGGAGCUGAGAACACUGGCUACUUGAUUGCUUCAUCCUAUCACAGCAGGAAAAUGCGAAUUCUCCCAAGUUGGAAGGUCUCCCUUGCAAUACCCUGAGUUCCCAGUCCUGGAGGACAGGCUGUGCUCCCAGGACAUUGGGAACUGGAGGUUUACAAACCGCCUCUGUGCCCUGCUGCCACAUCCAAGCUUUCCACAAGCCCACUGCAAACGUCUUGAAGAGGACAUCUCUCUUCUCACCUGCUCUCAGAGGUAUUGCUAAGAAUUUAAAUCUAGCUGUAUCUGCAUUAUGGUCUGGCACAUCUGGGGCUAAUCUUCAAGAGCUGGAUUUGAUAAAGACAGUCCAGUAGCAAAUAAACGACCAACCGUGACAGAGGGGAAAAAAGAGAAAAAGCAAAAACCAAACAAAAACCGAUAACAAACAAGUGAAAAGACCCAGCCAGCCUCUUGAAAUGACUGGAAGUAAAAAUCAUUUGGAAGCAGCCGCCCAGAAGGAAAACUAAAGCCCUUUUGAUCUUAUCUUCCAUUUCUGAGAUAAACAAUGCAUUCAAUACAAGUGAUUCCAAAACCAAAGUUAUAAUUUUUGGAAGACAUCCCCCAGUGUUUAAUGAGGCACUGAUCUCC
rnacentral:lncRNA from 1 species